rnacentral:tRNA from 1 species
GCAUCAGUAGUUCAAUGGCGAGAAUACUCGCCUGCCACGCGGGAGGCCCGGGUUCGAUUCCCGGCCGAUGCA